CUUCCUUUCAGAAUCUAAUCAAACAUCAUGCGCAAAGGGCGUCUCAGAUCCUCCAGACUAUCCCAGGAGCAGUAUAAAAGCACACACUGCUCACAUCUCUCCUAACAGCUUCUCCUGACUUCUCCUCUGGAACUUGGUCUUCUGCCUUUCAGAUCCAUCUCCUCCACCACAGAACCAUGUCCUACAGACAGCUGUGCAACUACCAGUGCUCCACACCAUGUGAAGUGGCCUGCCCACAGCCCAUUGCCAAUGCCUGGAAUGAGCCCUGUGUUACAUCAUGCGGUGACUCCAGGGCAGUGGUCUACCCACCCCCUGUUGUGAUCACUUUUCCUGGGCCAAUUCUCAGCUCCUGCCCUCAGGAAAGCAUAGUGGGAUCCUCAGCACCAGCUGCUAUUGGGACCUCACUUGGUUAUGGUGGAUCGUAUGGUUACAGAGGCUCUAUUGUUUAUGGGGGAUCACAGGAAAGCAAGUUUUCAUACCCUUAUUUUUCUCAGAGGUUUACUGGUUAUCGCUCUAGGUAUGAGCCCUGCCAAACCCAGCAGGAGUACACUUACACCAAGAGCAGCCAGGAUACUGAAUGCAAGAUACAAACUCAAGAGUAAGAUGGGGCUUUUAAGAUGCUGUCAUUAAAAGGCUGAGUCUUUCUAACAAUUCAUAUUGUAUUUGUGCUUGUACCUGCUUAUGUACUUGUCUUUUCUUAUCUAUGUGUUCUCCUAUUCUUCUCAUGGUCCAGAUUUUCAAAUGCAGUAAAACUCCUUUCACAUUCAACCUUGUAACAUUAUAGAAGCAUCAUAAUGGAAAAGUUUGUAUAUUGUGAUUUCUUCUUUUUGGUACUGCCUGAUGGCAAUCAAGAGUGAUGUUAACAGAUGAAAACUGGACUGCAUUGUCAAGCUCACAGCUACAAAAGAAGAAAAGAACACUGUGCUUGAAAUGAAACUUCCUGAAACAAGAAACCUCAGUUGGAAAAGCCUCAGAUUCCUUGUUCUCUGUAUGAUCAUGUUUUGCUUUUGUAAACUUUCCUUUUCUAUUGCCUAUUAAAAAAAUCAUGCUGCAUCAUAA